GAAAUGCGAUAAGUAAUGUAAAUUGCAGAAUUCAGUGAAUCAUCGAAUCUUUGAACGCACCUUGCGCUCCUUGGUAUUCCUUGGAGCAUGCCUGUUUGAGUAUCAUGAAAUCUUCAAAGUAAAUCUUUUGUUAACUCAAUUGGUUUCUACUUUGGUAUUGGAGGUCUUUGCAGCUUCACACCUGCUCCUCUUUGUUCAUUAGCUGGAUCUCAGUGUUAUGCUUGGUUCCACUCGGCGUGAUAAGUUAUCUAUCGCUGAGGACACUGUAAAAGGUGGCCAAGGUAAAUGCAGAUGAACCGCUUCUAAUAAUCCAUUGACUUGGACAAUACUUUUAUGAUCUGAUCUCAAAUCAGGUAGGACUACCCGCUGAACUUAAGC
rnacentral:misc_RNA from 1 species